UGGAGCAGAGAGCUGACUUGCAUCACCAGGAAAACACUGAGCACAGACCAGCCGCCUUCGAAGGCAAACAUUUGGCUAAAACCUUGGUCUUUCUUGCUGAGUUCACCUGACUAAUGCCAUCGUUGAGAGACAGAUGAGAACGCAUGGGGAAUGUGACUUUCAGGGAAUGAAUAAGACUGUAGACACCCUGCUGUGAGUCCAGUGCCUGGAGAGCGUCGUGCAUGUAGUGAGCAACCCAGUGUCUUCUUGAGCAACAGCGGAGUGUAGAGGCUACUCUGGUCAGGACAUGCUCAUCCAAGGAAACUUCAACUUGCACCUCAGAGUUAUAAUAAAAGGAUUCGACAUUUCCCAAAGAAGUAAUGACAGAACUGAAUUCCAAGUGUUCAUUCACGCUCUGGCAGCCUCCUCCUGGCACUUACACAAGCAAGUGAUUGACCUUUGACCAGCUUGAAAAAGAUAGCUAUUAGACCAUAUCUCUACUCAUGGACUGAGGUUUACUACAGAGGAUGUGGAGCUGCCCUCUGCCAGAUUCUGGCUUAUAAAUGUACAAGAAGUGCAGGCUGACCUUGCCAAGUGUUCAAGGCCUGGGUGCUUUCAGUCCUUUGGGUGCUGACUAGAGUCUUUCUCAACACUUACAGAGCCCCCUGUCUGCCUCCAUCUCAGUGCCCACAGGAAACUUAUCUUUGACCAUGUAAGCAUUUAUAUGGCAUAAUUUCCAAAGCCCCAGGAAAUCCCACCUAUGCACUCCCCAACCUAUUCUGUCACUUCUGAAAUUGCUUUAACCACCAACACUUCCAUUUACCAAUUGGAGUCAAAGUCUUAAAACCUCUAGGAACCAUUAAAAUUUUAAACAUAAACUUUUUAUUGAAAUAUAACAUACAUACAUAAAAAUGUACAAAUCAUAGGUGUAAAUGGACCACUCAUGUAAUGAAUGCCAGUAUAAAGAAAUAGAACAUUACCAUGUCCCUAAAAGCACCCCACUCCCUGCCACCAGUGCCUUGUACCCACUUCCAGUCUCCUCCCAUACACUCACCAGGAAAACCACUAUUCUGACUGGUAACAGAUAACUUUUGCUUUUGUCCUUUAUAUAAAUGGGAUCCUGUUGUAUGUUUUCUUUUUCAUAUACAAUGCUUCUUUGGUUCGGUAUUACAUUGAUGAGAUUCACCUAUGCUUUUCAUAUAGUUGUACUUUGUUCAUUUUUAUUGCUGUACAGUAUUCUAUUGUGUGAAUAAACUAUAAUUUGUUUAAUUAUUCCAUGCUGAUGGGCAUUUGAAUUGCUUCCAGUUUUUGACUUAUAAAUAUUGCUGUCAUUUAUCACUAGAGCUUUCUAGUAUGGGUCUUUUGAUGAACAUAUGUACACUUUUCUGUUGUACAUAUGAGACAUAGGAUAUAUACGUUCAGCAUUAGGAGGUACUAUCAAACAACUUUUCCAAGGUGGUUGUACCAAUUUACACUCCCACCAGCAGCAUGUAAGAUUUAUAGUCAUGCCAUACCUUCAUCUGCACUAGAUUUGUCUUUUCCAUUUAGCUAUUCUGGUGGGUAUGUGAUAAUGUGCAUUGUGUUCUUAAUUUGCAUUUCUCUGAUAACUAGUAAAGAUGAGCACUUCAUUUUAUGCGCAUUCGCCACUUGAAUAUCUUUUUUGUGAAUUGUCUGUUUAAAUCUCUUGCUAAUUAUUUUAUUGGAUUUAUACCUUUUACUUAAUAAUUUUUAAAGUUCUUUUUUAUAUUCUGAUAAUGUGUUGAAUAUGUA